CAAAGUGUAGCUUAACUUAAAAGCAUCCGGCCUACACCCAGAAGAUUUCACAAUACGUGACCGCUUUGA
rnacentral:tRNA from 1 species